GGUUAAUGGAGUUUUGCCUUUGUCCUGGGAGAUAAUUGGAUUACUUCCCAAUUAUCUCCAGGACAGAGGGAAGUUAGGAUGUACAGUGGAAUUUACCAUUCCGAUCCUUUGACUGCCCCCUGGUGAGGGAAAGACUUUGUCCCUGAAUGUCUCCAAGUUUGUGGACUAUGGAUGCUGGUCCUUAUACAGAUCUGGGGCUGGUGGAGAACUUCAAAGCAGACCAUCCACACUC